rnacentral:rRNA from 1 species
GCUAACGCGUGAAGUUGACCGCGUGGGGAGUACGGUCGCAAGAUAAAACUCAAAGGAAUUGACGGGGACCCGCACAAGCGGUGGAUGAUGUGGAUUAAUUCGAUGCAACGCGAAAAACCUUACCUACCCUUGACAUGUCUGGAAAGCCGAAGAGAUUUGGCCGUGCUCGCAAGAGAACCGGAACACAGGUGCUGCAUGGCUGUCGUCAGCUCGUGUCGUGAGAUGUUGGGUUAAGUCCCGCAACGAGCGCAACCCUUGUCAUUAGUUGCUACGCAAGAGCACUUUAAUGAGACUGCCGGUGACAAACCGGAGGAAGGUGGGGAUGACGUCAAGUCCUCAUGGCCCUUAUGGGUAGGGCUUCACACGUCAUACAAUGGUCGGGACAGAGGGUCGCCAACCCGCGAGGGGGAGCCAAUCUCAGAAACCCGAUCGUAGUCCGGAUCGCAGUCUGCAACUCGACUGCGUGAAGUCGGAAUCGCUAGUAAUCGCGGAUCAGAAUGUCGCGGUGAAUACGUUCCCGGGUCUUGUACACACCGCCCGUCACACCAUGGGAGUGGGUUUCA